rnacentral:rRNA from 1 species
UACGUAGGGGGCAAGCGUUGUCCGGAUUUAUUGGGCGUAAAGAGCGUGUAGGCGGCCUGACGGGUCUGCUGUGAAAACUCGAGGCUCAACCUCGAGAUGUCGGCGGAAACCGUCUGGCUAGAGUCCGGAAGAGGAGAGUGGAAUUCCUGGUGUAGCGGUGAAAUGCGCAGAUAUCAGGAAGAACACCUAUGGCGAAGGCAGCUCUCUGGGACGGUACUGACGCUGAGACGCGAAAGCGUGGGGGAGCGAACAGG